rnacentral:rRNA from 1 species
UACAGGGGGUGCAAACGUUGUUCGGAAUCAUUGGGCGUAAAGCGCACGUAGGCGGUUCGUUAUGUCGGAUGUGAAAGCCCUUGGCUUAACCGAGGAAGUGCAUCCGAAACUGGCGAGCUAGAGUACUAAAGAGGAUCGCGGAAUUCCCGGUGUAGAGGUGAAAUUCGUAGAUAUCGGGAGGAACACCGGUGGCGAAGGCGGCGAUCUGGGUAGAUACUGACGCUGAGGAGCGAAAGCGUGGGGAGCGAACAGG